rnacentral:rRNA from 1 species
UACAGAGGUGGCAAGCGUUGUUCGGAAUUACUGGGCGUAAAGGGCGCGUAGGCGGUCUUCUAAGUCUUGUGUGAAAUCCCUCGGCUCAACUGAGGAACUGCACGGGAUACUGGAAGACUUGAGUUCGGGAGAGGGAAGCGGAAUUCCGGGUGUAGCGGUGAAAUGCGUAGAGAUCCGGAGGAACACCGGUGGCGAAGGCGGCUUCCUGGACCGAUCACUGACGCUGAGGCGCGAAAGCUAGGGGAGCAAACGGG